rnacentral:rRNA from 1 species
GACGAACGCUGGCGGCGUGCCUAAUACAUGCAAGUCGAACGCAUUUUCUUUCACCGUAGCUUGCUACACCGAAAGAAAAUGAGUGGCGAACGGGUGAGUAACACGUGGGUAACCUGCCCAUCAGCGGGGGAUAACACUUGGAAACAGGUGCUAAUACCGCAUAAUUCCAUUUACCGCAUGGUAGAUGGAUGAAAGGCGCUUUUGCGUCACUGAUGGAUGGACCCGCGGUGCAUUAGCUAGUUGGUGGGGUAACGGCCUACCAAGGCUGCGAUGCAUAGCCGACCUGAGAGGGUGAUCGGCCACACUGGGACUGAGACACGGCCCAGACUCCUACGGGAGGCAGCAGCAGGGAAUCUUCGGCAAUGGACGCAAGUCUGACCGAGCAACGCCGCGUGAGUGAAGAAGGUUUUCGGAUCGUAAAACUCUGUUGUUAGAGAAGAACAAGGAUGAGAGUGGAAAGUUCAUCCCUUGACGGUAUCUAACCAGAAAGCCACGGCUAACUACGUG